AGGGAAUAUUGCAAAAUGGGCGAAAGCCCGAUGCAGCAACGCCGCGUGGGCGAUGAAGGCCUUCGGGUCGUAAAGCCCUUUUUGAGGGGAUGAGGAAGGACAGUACCCUCAGAAUAAGCCUCGGCUAACUACGUGCCAGCAGCCGCGGUAAAACGUAGGAGGCGAGCGUUAUCCGGAUUUACUGGGCGUAAAGCGCGUGCAGGCGGAUUGGAGAGUUGGAUGUGAAAGCUCCCGGCUUAACUGGGAGAGGUCGUUCAAUACUUCCAGUCUUGAGUGCAGUAGAGGGGAGUGGAAUUCCGGGUGUAGUGGUGAAAUGCGUAGAUAUCCGGAGGAACACCAGUGGCGAAAGCGGCUUCCUGGACUGUAACUGACGCUCAGACGCGAAAGCUAGGGUAGCAAACG
rnacentral:rRNA from 1 species